GGCGCUAUAGUGUAGUGGUUAUCACUCGAGAUUCUGAUAAUGUGAAUUCUCGAAACCCAGGUUCGAUCCCUGGUAGCGCCU